UACGUAGGGACCAAGCGUUGUUCGGAUUUACUGGGCGUAAAGGGCGCGUAGGCGGCUUAACAAGUCACUUGUGAAAUCUCCGGGCUUAACUCGGAACGGCCAAGUGAAACUGUCAAGCUAGAGUGCAGAAGGGGCAAUCGGAAUUCUUGGUGUAGCGGUGAAAUGCGUAGAUAUCGGGAGGAACACCAGUGGCGAAGGCGACUUCCUGGCCUGUUCUUGACGCUGAGGCGCGAAAGCUAGGGGAGCAAACGGG
rnacentral:rRNA from 1 species